rnacentral:rRNA from 1 species
GUAGGUGGCAAGCGUUGUCCGGAUUUACUGGGCGUAAAGGGCGCGCAGGCGGCUCGUCAAGUCUGGGGUGAAAUCUCCCGGCUCAACCGGGAGAGGUCUCUGGAUACUGACGGGCUUGAGGGAAGCAGAGGAGAGCGGAAUUCCCGGUGUAGCGGUGAUGUGCGUAGAUAUCGGGAGGAACACCAGUGGCGAAGGCGGCUCUCUGGGCUUUUCCUGACGCUGAGGCGCGAAAGCGUGGGGGAGCGAACCGGAUUAGAUACCCGGGUAGUCCACGCCGUAAACGUUGUGCACUAGGUGUGGGGGGGUAUUGACCCCCCCUCCGUGCCCGCAGUUAACGCGAUAAGUGCACCGCCUGGGGAGUACGGCCGCAAGGCUA